UCUUCCAAGUCUUUAUACAGCAACACCUACUCUCUCUCUCAGCCUCACCACCACCAACCAGCUCUCUUUCUUCUUCCUGGCAACAGGUCUCACAAGUCCAUAUCCCUCCCUUCAAUCACCGCCGUCCAUGCGGCCGAGCCCGCUAAGAAUACUGUCUCAGUGAAAGAGUCCAGGGCACCAUCAGCCCCGGGCACCGGCAAAUGGACGCUGGACAGCUGGAAGACGAAGAAAGCUUUGCAGCUUCCGGAAUACCCUGAUGCGAAUGAGCUGGAGUCUGUGUUGAAGACUAUUGAGACAUUUCCGCCAAUUGUUUUCGCUGGGGAAGCCAGG
rnacentral:misc_RNA from 1 species